UGUUAUUGUUAAAGUUGCGACCAUCUAAAAAUGUUUUGCAGUAAACCAAAAAGUAGCUUAGUCUCCUAAAAUCUUUGAAUUAAUUCCUAAUGGUUUAUCAUCCACCUGAAGAAGAAACCACUAAUACUGUUCUACCUCGGCCUUCGACCCUCCUUGGCAUUUUUUUGAUCUCUCUUAUAUUUUGGCAUUGUUGGCCCCUAUUACUUGGAAAAGUUGGGACUGGAGAAAUUCUUUAUAUUCUAUUAUAUGAUUUAUUUUCGUUGAUAGCGUUUUAUCUCCUGUUUAUCCGUCACGGUGAUCUUGCAUUUACUUACACUGAAUAAUUAUAAGCUGCUUUCAGUUAGGAAAAAUUGAACAACGCUUGUAACAACCUCUACUGCCGCGUGUCUAGCAAUAGCACGUUUACUUGUGUUAGGAGCGUAGCUAAUAGAAAUAUACUCCCAGUUAAACACCUUUUUCAAAGAAAAUUUAAAAGCUUGAAGUUGUUGAUUUUCAGAUGUAAACUGUGGGAAAAGUUAUAUUUAUAGUCGAGGUUAUAUACAU